AGAAUCCUUAGUCCCCGCCCCCGCCCCACCGCCUGCCUCCUCCGUCGCCGCCGUCACCGCCGCAGCCGCCAGCAACUCCACUUCUAGACCGCGCGAGACCGGCCCCUGCGGCCGCCGCGAGACCGCGCACGCGCCCCCGGGACUCUGGCGCAGUGGGCGCGCGGAUCCGAGUCCCACCCCGCCCGUGAGAGGCUGGCGCGGCUUGCCCAAUCCCGAGCCGGAGCGGAGAGAGCGCCCGCUCAUUGGUCCUCUCCGCAGCUCCAGCCGGGUGCGCGCAGUCGCGCGCCUCUAAGUCUAAAACGCGGACUGCUCCGGGCUAGCUGGCCCGGUAGAGCCCCUUCGGGAUUUGGCCGGCGGGCUUUGUGGGGACGCGAGGCUUCCCUGGGUUUCUACAUCCCUUGGCUCUUGUCUCUGGAUGACGUAUCCUGAAGAAAAUCUGAUUCCUCUUGAAGAGAUUCCUCAUGUCCUGUCAAGUUAGUCACCCAAUCUAACAUUUGUUUUUUUUAAAAAAUGACAUAAACACCUGGAUGUGUGCAGUGUCCCGCAGAAGACUGCAUAAAGCCAGCAGCUGCACUGAUUUCUGAAAACCAGAAAGCAAGGAUAGCAAGGACUAGAACUAUUUCCCAGAAGUCUCCCGAAGGGACAGAGUUACGCAGAUCAGCCCGUGCUCCGGGCAUGGCUGGCGCCCUCGGGACCUGGAUGUGCCACCCUUGGAAUGGGGCAGGACUCAGGCGGGUGCGGGCGGAAGUCAGAGCAGAUUGGAGGACGUUCUAAGGAGAAACACCAGCAAUGUGUCUCGACACUUGCAAUAAAAGCCCUCGGAUGGUCUCUGUCUUGACAGUACCUUCCGAGCAAGCCCAUUCCACAUUUGAACACUUGCAAGGUUUGUUAAUCGACCUCUCCUUCUAUGAGGCCAAACUAUGCCUGUGACUCCAGCCCGGGGGCACAGUUUCCCCCAGGGGCACAGUCCUCCCUCAAAGCCUUCGUAUAUGCCAUUUCCAUUUCUCUCGGUUUUCCUCAUUUUGUCCCACGGUGUUUUUCCAUCUCGCAAUGUCCUCAGGUCCUGAUUUUCAAGCUCUUUCACAUUCUUCCCCAUUACGCUCCUCUGGACAGCCUAUGGGUUGUGGUGUCCCUCACUAAGGACACUGUGAUGGCCUGAACGAAGCAAACCGUUGUUCCUGGUGGUGAAGAUCUUUGGGGAUGCCUACCCUUCCCAGAUUUGUUAUCCUUCUCAAAUCUGAUCAGCAUUCUGUCCAAGUGUUUAAUAAGACAGAGCGGAGGACAGAACUCUGCUGCAUGCCACUAAAGACCUUAAUGCUCCUGCCAUCAAAAAUUUCUCAGUAGGCUUCGAAUACAGGUGGACGACACAACCGAACUGUCUUCUUGGCCCAUAUUCCUCCAUAAAGAUGCCAUGAGAACUGGUGAAAUGCCUAACUGAAAUCCAGAUAAAGUCUCCAGGAUUCCUAGAAACUACUAGCCAUACCCCAAAAGAAAAAACGGUUACUGUGUGUGACUUACUUCCUUUUCUAAGUUCUUUUGUUUUUGUUUUUGUUUGAGACGGAGUUUCGCUCUUUUGCCCAGGCUGGAGUAAAGUGGCGCAAUCUCGGCUCACUGCAACCUCCGCUCCCCGGGUUCAAGCGAUACUCCUCCCUCAGCCUCCCCAGUAUCUGGGAUUACAGGUGCCAGCCACCACGCCCGGCUAAUUUUUGUAUUGUUAGUAGAGACGGGGUUUCGCCACAUUGGCCAAGCUGGUCUUGAACACCUGACCUCAGGUGAUCCACCUUUCUCAGCCUUCCAAAGUGCUAGGAUUACAGGCGUGAGCAACCGUGCCCCGCCUCUAAGUUCUUAAAUAUAUAACAUAAAUAAUAAUUCAAGAAGCUUCCUCCAGCUCGUCAAUGAAUUCUUCUUUCUCUAGCUUAUAAUUUCUCAUCCUUGGCACUAUUGACAUUUGGGCUGGAUAAUUCUUGUGGGGACUGUCCUGUGCAUCAUAGGAUGUUUAGAAGCAUCCCCAGCCUCUACCCACUACGUGCCAGUAGCAUCACCCUCCCCAAUGUGACAAUCAAAAAUGUCUCCAGACAUCACCAAAGGUCAUGGGGAGGAAUGAGCAAAAUCAUCUUCAGUAGUCCACCCACCCCUCAUCUUCAGGGGAUAUCUUCCAAGAUCCCUCGUGAUGCCUGAAACCUUGGAUGGUACGGAACCCUGUAUACACUGUGUUUUUCAAUCUGAUCAUCGAGAAGGCUACUGACUAAGGGGCAGGUAACAUAUACAGCCUGGAUAGCUGCAAGGGGAUGAUUCCUGUUCCAGGUGGGAUGGUGUGAGAUUUCAUCAUGCUACUUAGAAUCGCAUGCAAUUUAAAACCUAUGAAUUAUUUAUUUCUGGAACUAUUUAAUAUUUUUUGACCACAGGUAACUGAAACUGUGGAAAGCACAACUGUGGAUAAGGGAGGACUUUUGUAUUCCAUAGUUAAGUUUCUUUUUGUUGCUAAGUAGUAUCACUGUAUGACCAUACGACAAUUUGUUUAGUCAUUCACCUGUUGAUGGGCAUUUUGGUGUUUCUAGUUUUUUGCUAUUAUGAACAAAACUAUGACUCUUUGUGUACGAGUCUUAUUUUGAAUAUAUGUCUUGUGAACAUGUUUUUAGUUUUUUUGAAAUUUGAUCAUAUAUCUUUUUUUUUCUUGAGAGAGGGUCUUGCUCUGUCACCCAGGCUGCAGUACAGUGGCAUGAUCAUGGGUCACUGCAGCCUCGACCUCCUGAGCUCAAGCAAUCUUCCAUCCUCAGUCUCCUGAAUAGCUGGGACUAUAGAUAUGGGCCAUCAUACCCAGCUUAUUUUUUGUGGAGACAGGGUAUCACUUUGUUACCCAGGCUGAUCUCAAACUACUGGGCCCAAGCAAUCCUCCUGCCUCAGCCGCCCAAAGUGCUGGGAUUAUAGGCAUGAGAGACCACAUCCAGCUGAUCAUAUGUCUUAACUUAAUUUUCCAAACUCUUUUCCAGGGUGGUUGUACACCAACUACAGUGUAUGCUGCCUUUUGAAGGAUUGUGUUGCUAGAUACAAAUAGAAAGUUAUAACUCAUAGUUAUAGCUUUCUACCUGUAAGAAUCAAUUUAUUAAUCUUUUUCCCCCCAAGUGAACAAAAGUAAAAGUUACAGAUAAUCUGUAUGAAGAAAACAGUUUCUAUGAUGCUAUAGCCAUCUCCAAAUUAGAAACUGUUGGUUUACGUAUAUACCUAACUUAAAAACGUUAGUCUCCUCUUGGUUUCAUGGAAUCUCUGUUUUCACUCCUGAUUGUGAAGGUUGGAAACAAACUUCUUCUGUCUUUGGAACAGCAGGGAGAGGAGGAGGAGGAAUUCCCUAGGCUGUGGGCCAAGAGACUAGGUAGAUGGUUUUUCUCUAGAGCAGUGCUGUCUGAUGGAAAUCUAUCAUGAGCCACAUUUUUUUGUGUGUAAUUUGUGACACAUUGCUUAACAGGCACAUCAAAAGAGUAAAAAGAAAGAUUAAAUUAAUCCUUAAAUAUUUUUAUUUAACCAAUAUAUUCAAAUAUUAUCAUUUAAACAUAUAAUCAAUAUAAUACACAUUAAAUAUUUUACAUUCUUUUUUUCUCAAAGACUUCCAAAUCUGGCGUAUAUUUUACACUUAUGGUAUAUCUCAAUUUGGACACUAGAUUUUCAACAGUUGAAGUGAAAAAUGUAGCCCUACCAAAACAAUAAAGUUGUGUUUAAUGGAAAAAUAUUCUACACUGUUCUAGUUUUAAAAUUAGAAUUUACAUUUAUUAAAAAUAAUCUAAAAUUCAGCUUCUCAGUCACACUAGCUACAUUGCAGGUGCUCAAUAGCCAUAUAUGCCUACUGGCCAUCAUAUGGGACUGCACAGUUCUAGAGGGUUGCUUGUGGGCCAGGAAGGGAAAGAUGGAGAUAAGAGAUAUUCUCAGUUCACAGUAGAAAAACCAGUACUAUUUGUGUGAAAUUUGAGUUAAAUAGAUUUCCAUUGCUUUAAAAAAACCUAACUACCCUUAUUCUGAAUUUAAAAGCAUGAGUUCUAAUGUGAAUCGCAAAUUUGCGUUUAGCUUGGCUGUUGGGCUUCUUGGGUUCAAAGAUCAUCUCCACCAUUUUCUAGCUGUGUGACUUGGACAAGUAACUUUAACCUCUAAGCUUCACUUUCACCACCUGUAAAACAGGGGAAAAUAGUAGUGUCCCUCAUAUUACUGUGAAGAUUAAGUGAGAUAAUGGAUAAAAAACAUGCUGUAGCAUGACUGGCAGCAUUUAGAAAAUAAGUGAUGGCUUUUAAAAAGUCAAACCAUUCUCUGGAUGGGGACUGUCUGUAGUUUCUUUUUUAUUUUUAAAAGUACAUGGAUUUUUUUUAACCUGUUUGAAAAUGACACACUGAUUCAAUAAAUACUGUCUCUCAGCACCAGGUACUCAGCUAGAACAAAAGAUGAAAUGAACACAGUCCCUACCUUGAAUGACCUCACAUUCUCCAAUGUUAGAAACAAAACAGUGUUGGACUAAUAUACAAAUGAGAAAAGUGAAACCAAGAGAAUAACAAAUUUUUCCAUCAAUCCCAAAGAAAAGAAACCCCAUCCAUAAAAACUGAGUUUAUGAAUUGAAAAUCUUACCGUUUUGCAUAAUCCUCUAGCUUCCUUUAAAAUAGAUACCCACAAUUAAAAUAGUUAAGAUUUAUGAAAUUAGGUUGACAUGGAUUUGAAUUCGUAAUGAUUAGUCAUAGGCUUUAUUUCUGCCACGUAGAAGACACUGCUUGGUUUUCCUCUUGCACUGAUUGUCUUUCCCUGAGCUGUGUUUGCUUUUUAGUUUAGUAGUUUGUAUCUGAUUUUAAAAAAAGGUGGAGAAGUCAGUUCAUUUAAUUCAAAUGUCUGAAAUAGAGAAUAUUUUUAGUGUUAUUACUGUUAACUAUAAGACAAGAUGAACUAAAUACAGGUAAAAUAAAUGAUUGAAACAAACAAAAUUAUAUUUAUACUACAACUUUUCUUCUUGAUAUAAAAAAUAAAGAUCCUUUGGAUGAA